GACGAACGCUGGCGGCGUGCUUAACACAUGCAAGUCGAACGGAAAGGCCCUGCUUUUGUGGGGUGCUCGAGUGGCGAACGGGUGAGUAACACGUGAGUAACCUGCCCUUGACUUUGGGAUAACUUCAGGAAACCGGGGCUAAUACCGGAUAGGAGCUCCUGCUGCAUGGUGGGGGUUGGAAAGUUUCGGCGGUUGGGGAUGGACUCGCGGCUUAUCAGCUUGUUGGUGGGGUAGUGGCUUACCAAGGCUUUGACGGGUAGCCGGCCUGAGAGGGUGACCGGCCACAUUGGGACUGAGAUACGGCCCAGACUCCUACGGGAGGCAGCAGUGGGGAAUAUUGCACAAUGGGCGGAAGCCUGAUGCAGCAACGCCGUGUGCGGGAUGACGGCCUUCGGGUUGUAAACCGCUUUCGCCUGUGACGAAGCGUGAGUGACGGUAAUGGGUAAAGAAGCACCGGCUAACUACGUG
rnacentral:rRNA from 1 species